UGAUGCAGUACCCGGCUGCACAGCAGGGUGGCACCUAUACAGCGGUGAGCCACGGGCGCGUUAAGGCCACUGACUGGAACGCGGAGAAGCCGUUCACGUGUCAGGCGGAACAUCCGGGAAAAUCAACACCCACUGAGAGCAUCGUGAAAAAGAAAGGAAGCAAAUCACCAUCUCUCAGUCUUGUGAAAGCUGCCCAGUAUGUUAUGUGUGUCAUUGAGGACUUUUACCCAAAGGACCUCACUAUCACGUGGAAGGAGGACAGCCGUGAACUUAAAGGCCUGAAAGCAGCAGAUGUAAGAAAUGCCCAAGGCAAUUAUGAUACCUACAGUUUACUGAAAGUAGACCAGACAACAACAAACAAGGACACAACAUACACCUGUGAAGUUGCACAUCAGACCGGACCAAAUAGAAUUGUAAAGUCGUUUGGAGGUAUAGUAAUGUCUUGAUG